rnacentral:rRNA from 1 species
UUUCGCUAGGGACGAAGCUUUUUGUGACGGUACCUAGAUAAGAAGCACCGGCUAACUACGUGCCAGCAGCCGCGGUAAUACGUAGGGUGCGAGCGUUGUCCGGAAUUACUGGGCGUAAAGGGCUCGUAGGUGGUUUGUCGCGUCGUCUGUGAAAUUCCGGGGCUUAACUCCGGGCGUGCAGGCGAUACGGGCAUAACUUGAGUACUGUAGGGGUAACUGGAAUUCCUGGUGUAGCGGUGAAAUGCGCAAAUAUCAGGAGGAACACCGAUGGCGAAGGCAGGUUACUGGGCAGUUACUGACGCUGAGGAGCGAAAGCAUGGGUAGCGAACAGGAUUAGAUACCCUGGUAGUCCAUGCCGUAAACGGUGGGCGCUAGGUGUGAGGGUCUUUUCACGACUUUCGUGCCGUAGCUAACGCAUUAAGCGCCCCGCCUGGGGAGUACGGCCGCAAGGCUAAAACUCAAAGGAAUUUGACGGA